rnacentral:rRNA from 1 species
AUGCCGCCAAACUUCAUAACUGCUACUGGAAUGAGGUUCAGCUCGUACGUCAAUGCUUGGGAGUUUUACAACACUUAUGCAAGACAUGCAGGGUUUGACAUAUGCAAAAGGUCGCGCCACAAGACAAAUAAUUACAUUGUCUUCUCAAGAGAACGAAAGCAGAAGGCGAUUGUGGCAGAAUAUGACUGGAAACGUGGGAAGACAUCAAAAGGGACUGGUUACCGAGCAAUAAUUAGAGUGAAAGAGGGGAAGAAUGGGAGCUUUGUGAUACAGAAGGUUGAGCUGAAGCACAAUCACAAGAUGAUCGAAAGCCCCGGGAUGCUUUUGCACCUGCACUCACACAAAAGAGACAUCCUUUGA